UGGCUUGGGUCUGAGUGUCCAUAAUGUGUCUAAAAAGCAGCUGCCGGGGGGUGUUAGUGCUUCUCGGUUUCAAAGAGCGGCUCUGCUCCUGGCCCUGCUGUCACAGCCACCAGCCACCCCCAGCAAGGGCUUCGGAUCAGGACCUCACCGAGGGCGCUACUCUCUCCCUCUCGGUGACUGCCCACAGGAGGCUUUCCACCUGCCCAGGGCUCACAGCGCAGUGUCUCCAUUCUCGGGUGACCGUGCCACAGAGGCAGUGCAGGUCUGAAGUCCAGGAUCCAAACCCUACCCAGGUCCCACUUCUGAGGCGCCUGGCCACGUGCUUGUCGUGGGCCACCCUGGCCAGAGUCUCAGUGCCAGUAAGGUAGAAACGAUACCAGCCACCCCGGAGAAAGAGCCAACAAACGCAGGCUGGACAGCAAAACCUGGGGGGAAAUCUUUGAGCUUGUUCACGAGGUGCAGCCCAGGUAAAGCGUAGGAAGCACAAGCAGAGUGCCGCGGUCUAAACGAAGCGUGUUUCUCUCCAUGGACUAGAGCGUGGAAGUGCACACACAUUUCCCACGUUCAGAGAGUGACCUGGAAACAGGUCUUAAGAACAAGGUGGAAAUUUAGCUGCUGCCAUUAAACAUGGGGUAAACUGUGCUUUCCAGGUAAUGCGGAACGCACGUGCCUGCGUUCAGACUCCGUUUAUCUUCACCGUCCUUCAAAAUGGAUGAGCUAAACCCACGCACACGCGUGGACGGGCUGCACAUGGGGUAAACUGUGCUUUCCAGGUAAUGCGGAACGCACGUGCCUGCGUUCAGACUCCGUUUAUCUUCACCGUCCUUCAAAAUGGAUGAGCUAAACCCAGGCACACGCGUGGACGGGCUGCACAUGGGGUAAACUGUGCUUUCCAGGUAAUGCGGAACGCACGUGCCUGCAUUCAGACUCCGUUUAUCUUCACCGUCCUUCAAAAUGGAUGAGCUAAACCCAGGCACACGCGUGGACGGGCUGCACAUGGGGUAAACUGUGCUUUCCAGGUAAUGCGGAACGCACGUGCCUGCAUUCAGACUCCAUUUAUCUUCACCGUCCUUCAAAAUGGAUGAGCUAAACCCACGCACACGCGUGGACGGGCUGCACAUGGGGAUGCCUGUGGCGGCCCACCAUUCACACGUGUGCCCUCACCUGUAGACGCAUUUAAUUUACAUUGGGUGUCCUGCCGUGUAAACUUCUGUGGAGACCUACUUAAUUCACACCAAGUGUCCUGAUGUGUAGACCCCUGCGAUAGACCUACUUAAUUCACACCGGUGUCCUGACGUGUAGACCCCUGUGGAGACCUACUUAAUUCACACCGGGUGUCCUGAUGCGUAGACCCCUGUGGAGACCUACUUAAUCCACACCGGGUGUCCUGAUGCGUAGACCCCUGUGGAUACCUACUUAAUUCACACCGGGUGUCCUGAUGCGUAGACCCCUGUGGAGACCUACUUAAUUCACACCGGUGUCCUGACGUGUAGACCCCUGUGGAGACCUACUUAAUUCACACCGGGUGUCCUGAUGCGUAGACCCCUGUGGAGACCUACUUAAUUCACACCAAGUGUCCUGAUGUGUAGACCCCUGUGGAUACCUACUUAAUUCACACCGGGUGUCCUGAUGCGUAGACUCCUGUGGAUACCUACUUAAUUCACACCGGGUGUCCUGAUGUGUAGACCCCUGUGGAGACCUACUUAAUUGACACCGGGUGUCCUGAUGCGUAGACUCCUGUGGAGACCUACUUAAUCCACACCAGUGUCCUAAUGUGUAGACCCCUGUGGAGACCUACUUAAUUCACACCGGGUGUCCUGAUGUGUAGACCCCUGUGGAUACCUACUUAAUUCACACCGGGUGUCCUGAUGCGUAGACUCCUGUGGAUACCUACUUAAUUCACACCGGGUGUCCUGAUGUGUAGACCCCUGUGGAGACCUACUUAAUUGACACCGGGUGUCCUGAUGCGUAGACCCCUGUGGAGACCUACUUAAUUCACACCAAGUGUCCUGAUGUGUAGACCCCUGUGGAUACCUACUUAAUUCACACCGGGUGUCCUGAUGCGUAGACUCCUGUGGAGACCUACUUAAUCCACACCGGGUGUCCUGAUGUGUAGACCCCUGUGGAGACCUACUUAAUUCACACCGGUGUCCUGACGUGUAAACCCCUGUGGAGACCUACUUAAUUCACACCGGUGUCCUAAUUCACACCGGUGUCCUGAUGUAUAGACCCUUGUGGAGACCUACUUAAUUCACACCAGUGUCCUCAUGUGUAGACCCUUGCGGAGACCUACUUAAUUCACACUGGGUGUCCUGAUGCGUAGACUCCUGUGGAGACCUACUUAAUUCACACCGGAUGUCCUGAUGUGUAGACCCCUGUGGAGACCUACUUAAUUCACACCAAGUGUCCUGAUGUGUAGACCCCUGUGGAUACCUACUUAAUUCACACCGGGUGUCCUGAUGUGUAGACCCCUGUGUAGACCUACUUAAUCCACACCGGGUGUCCUGAUGUGUAGACCCCUGUGGAGACCUACUUAAUUCACACCAAGUGUCCUGAUGUGUAGACUCCUGUGGAGACCUACUUAAUUCACACUGGGUGUCCUGACGUGUAGACUCCUGUGGAGACCUACUUAAUUCACACCGGGUAUUCUGACAUGUAGACCCCUGUGGAGACCUACUUAAUUCACACUGGUGUCCUGACGUGUAGACCCCUGUGGAGACCUACUUAAUUCACACCGGUGUCCUAAUUCACACCGGUGUCCUGAUGUAUAGACCCUUGCGGAGACCUACUUAAUUCACACCGGUGUCCUCAUGUGUAGACCCUUGCGGAGACCUACUUAAUUCACACCGGGUGUCCUGAUGCGUAGACUCCUGUGGAUACCUACUUAAUUCACACCGGUGUCCUGAUGCGUAGACUCCUGUGGAGACCUACUUAAUUCACACCUGUGUCCUGAUGUGUAGACCCCUGCGGAGACCUACUUAAUUCACACCGGGUAUUCUGACAUGUAGACUCCUGUGGAGACCUAUUUAAUUCACACCGGGUGUCCUGAUGUGUAGACCCCUGUGGAGACCUACUUAAUUCGCACCUGGCAUCCUGACGUGUAGACUCCUAUGUAGACCUAUUUAAUUCACACCGGGUGUCCUGGCGUGUAAACCCCUGUGUAGAUCUACUUAAUUCACACCCAGCAUCCUGACCUGUAGACCCCUGUGGCGACCUACUUAAUUCACACCCGGCAUCCUGACGUGUAGACUCCUAUGUAGACCUAUUUAAUUCACACCAGGAGUCCUGAUAUGUAGAUCCCUGUGGAGACCUACUUAAUUCACACCUGGCAUCUUGACGUGUAGACUCCUAUGUAGACAUACUUAAUUCACAUUGAGCAUCCUGACAUGUAGACCCCUGUGUAGACCUACUUCAUUUACACCAGGUGUCCUGAUGUGUAGACCCCUGUGUAGACCUACUUAAUUCACACCGGGUGUCCUGAUGUAUAGACCCUUGUGGUAGACCUACUUAAUUCACACCGAGUGUCCUGAUGUGUAGACUCCUGUGGAGACCUACUUAAUUCACACCAGGUGUCCUGAUGUGUAGACCCCUGUGGAUACCUACUUAAUCCACACCGGGUGUCCUGAUGCGUAGACUCCUGUGGAGACCUCCUUAAUCCACACCAGGUGUCCUGAUGUGUAGACCUCUGUGGAGACCUACUUAAUUCACACCGAGUGUCCUGACGUGUAGACCCCUGUGGAGACCUACUUAAUUCACACCGGUGUUCUGACAUGUAGACCCCUGUGGAGACCUACUUAAUUCACACCGGUAUCCUGACAUAUAGACCCUUGCGGAGACCUACUUAAUUCACACCAGUGUCCUGAUGUGUAGACCCUUGCGGAGACCUACUUAAUUCACACCGGGUGUCCUGAUGCGUAGACUCCUGUGGAUACCUACUUAAUUCACACCGGUGUCCUGACGCGUAGACCCCUGUGGAGACCUACUUAAUUCACACCGGGUAUUCUGACAUGUAGACCCCUGUGGAGACCUACUUAAUUCACACCGGGUAUUCUGACGUGUAGACCCCUGUGGAGACCUACUUAAUUCACACCGGGUGUCCUGAUGUGUAGACCCCUGUGGAGACCUACUUAAUUCACACCGGGUGUCCUGAUGUGUAGACUCCUGUGGAGACCUACUUAAUUCACACCGAGUGUCCUGACGUGUAGUAGACCCCUGUGGAGACCUACUUAAUUCACACCGGUGUCCUGAUGUGUAGACCCCUGUGGAGACCUACUUAAUUCACACCUGGCAUCCUGACGUGUGGACUCCUAUGUAUACCUAUUUAAUUCACACCGGGUGUCCUGGCGUGUAAACCCCUGUGUAGAUCUACUUAAUUCACACCCAGCAUCCUGACCUGUAGACCCCUGUGGCGACCUACUUAAUUCACACCCGGCAUCCUGACGUGUAGACUCCUAUGUAGACCUAUUUAAUUCACACCAGGAGUCCUGAUAUGUAGAUCCCUGUGGAGACCUACUUAAUUCACACCCGGCAUCCUGAUGUGUAGACUCCUAUGUAGACCUAUUUAAUUCACACCAGGAGUCCUGAUAUGUAGAUCCCUGUGGAGACCUACUUAAUUCACACCCGGCAUCUUGACAUGUAGACUCCUAUGUAGACAUACUUAAUUCACAUUGAGCAUCCUGACGUGUAGACCCCUGUGUAGACCUACUUAAUUCACACCGGGUGUCCUGCCAUGUAGACUUCUGUGUAGACCUACUUAAUUCACACCGGGUGUCCUGAUGUGUAGACCCCUGUGGAGACCUGCUUAAUUCACACCGGGUAUUCUGACAUGUAGACUCCUGUGGAGACCUACUUAAUUCACACCGGGUGUCCUGAUGUGUAGACCCCUGUGGAGACCUGCUUAAUUCACACCGGGUAUUCUGACAUGUAGACUCCUGUGGAGACCUACUUAAUUCACACCGGGUGUCCUGAUGUGUAGACCCCUGCGAUAGACCUCCUUAAUCCACACCGGGUGUCCUGAUGUGUAGACCCCUGCGAUAGACCUCCUUAAUCCACACCGGGUGUCCUGAUGUGUAGACUCCUGUGGAGACUUACUUAAUUCACACUCAAGCAUCCUGGCAUGUAGACCCCUGUGGUUCUUAAUUAUUUAUGUGCUCUUGAAGAGUUGCACAUUUUUAAAGAAUAUUUUACAACAGAAAAGGUCACCUUUUCAAAGCCUUUUUUAUGGGAUUAAUUUGUAACUACAGGAUUGCAAAAAAUUUUAAUAGCUUUAACCUCUAGAAACAGGAUAUGUAAAUGCUGAAAAACAAAGUCCCAACCAGAUAAGUCCUGUGGGUGGUUUCCCAGUCAUGAUUCAUGGAAGGAGAAAUGUACUGAUGAGAAAUCACAUCCAAAAUAUUGUCUCUGCAGUGGUAAUACUUACAAAGUCGACGCAGUCUCAGGCGGAGCUCACUGAAGAUGGUUUCCAAGCUUAUAUGUACUUCACCCAUCCCCCACCCUCCAGCCCAAAACAAAUCCCAAACAUACUGCUUAGAACUCAGCCUGCGCAGCCCAGAGGUACAGAGAGGCAGGAAGCACCCAGGUGUCCACAUACGGUGCCAUUGUGGACUUGUAGGGCAGGAUUCCAGGAUAUGGGUGAUGGGCGUGUGGAACCGCGGCGCCCCCUGCACAGUGUGGCUCAUUUGAGCCGGAUGGGGGCCGUGAAGGCAUCACCCAGCCUGCCCCCUGGGAGCUGGCUUCUCCCUUCCUGGGGCGGAGCUCGCCCGACAGCCCCACAUGCCUGGUUCUCCCUGCAGAUGAGGGUGCUGUGUGGGGUCACAGGGAAGAAACCAGCAGCAGCGGCAGAGCUUGAUCCAGGCAUUGGAGGAGGGUCCUGGUACCCCUGGCAGGGGCUGGCGGGAAGCUGCACUUCUGUCAUUGCCCAUGGCGGCUUUGGAGGAGAUGACAGAGCAUGGCGAAUUCUGCCUCCCACUCCUGACCCCUCUGCUGUGUCAUUCAAGUUUUGUCCUUUUCCUACUGUCCGUUUCGAACGUCACUGCAGGCAGUGGCCUCGGUGGCUUCGCUCCGCCUGGCCCUGCUCCCUGGCUCUGUGCUACCCUCUCUCCCCCUCGGCUGGGCCCUUCCUCUCCGCUGCUCCCUGUGGAACUGGAGCCCCUCAAGGUCUCUUCAGUUUCUGAUCCGGGGAGCCCUGCAGGUUGUCAGGAUGGGUUUUGUGGGCUUAUUGCUGCUUUCCAGGACCUUUGAGAAGCCGUAAGUCUCCUUCCUACCAGGAAGCCCUCACUCAGGAACGCACAGACCGGGGUCAACAGGCUCUCAGGAGCGCCGUCUGCGUGCAGGUGGAGGGUGUGGCGGGGCCAGGAGAGCACUUGGCCGCCUUUCAUCUCAACCUCUGAGGACAGAAGGGGGCUCUCAAAUCCGCCCAUGCAUUGAGAUCUUCGCUCUUCACAGAGGUGGGAUUAGUAGCUUAGUCUCAGUUUCAAGUGGAUGAGGUUGUGUAAUUUCAAGGGAAAAUUACAUCCGGCAAUACCUCUUUUGCUAAUGGAACUCAGGAAGGAAAGGCCCUCAGAAAGGCUGGAGUCUGGAAUCUAGGCAGGUAGCUGGCCUGACAGUAACCUUGAUCCAGGUAAACCAAAGUGGAAUUCUCGAGCCUGGAAUUGAUGACUCAUAAUUGUUUUCAUUUAACAGCUCAGGAUGUGUGAAAAAAAAAUGCUGUUUAAUUUGUAAGACCUAAGUUUACGACUGAUUUUGGAGAAUACAUUUGUGAUAAUGUAUCUAUGUUUUCCUGGGGUGGCGGAGGAAAUGAUUUCUACCUAAAAAAAAGAAAUGCUAGUAGUUAAGACUUUUUAAGUGCCACAGAAGCUUGUUCUCAGCAAGUUUGCUUUUAUGAAAUCAAAGGAUGAAAGCCUUUGUCAUGGAAGAAGUCGUAAUAGAGGAUGAAAAUGCUGUCGGGUUAUUUUUAACUUCUCAUCUGUUUGACGGAAGUGCAGUUACUGGUGAUAGGUGAUGAUAGAGUUUGUUUCCUUCUUGGGGGAGAGACUUUGGGCAGUGUCAAAACCUGAAAUGACAGCCCAGCACGCCCCGUUCCCUGCUUCCUGUGCUGUGCAGAGCUCCCCCAGGCCUGCUUGCACCCCCCACGUGGGGAAUCCUGAACUCCACAAAGGGAUGGAUCACUGCAUGCCUCCUUUUCCAGAUUUGUACUUUGGGGCACAGAAUUCACAUGGUUCCCAGCUUUGCCCACAGGAGGCUACAGAAUUAAAUGUUGGCUUAGACUAUACUGUCCCUCCAUGCCUUCAAGAAAGUUGAAUCCUUCUGGUAAUUGGGGAGAAAAAAUUCCCUCUGCAAUUCGUAGGUAUAGCCAGUGUUUUCAUGACUUCUAUUUGUAUAAAUGAUUUCCAUGUUUAUUAUAUCAUGUAAUCUCUAAAACAACCCUGUGAGCCCACCAAUACUGAUUAUUACCAAUGUAUCCAUGAGGAAGCUGAGGCUUAGAGCUCAGUCAUGUGCCUGAGGCCACAGAAGAGGAUAGAGCCCCUGUAGUCUGGCACUGGGCUUGGACUUCCUUCCGCAGAGCCAGGGGCCCUUUCUUUUCAUUUUUGAGACAGAGUCUCUCUCUGUGCCCAGGCUGGAGUGCAAUGGUGCGAUCCUGGCUCACUGCAACCUCCACCGCCCGGGUUUAAGUGAUUCUCCUGCCUCAGCCUCCCAAGUAGCUGGAACUACAGGUGCCCACCACCACACCUAGUUAAUUUUUAUGUUUUUAGCAAAGAUGGGGUUUUGCCAUUGUUGGCCAGGCUGGUCUUGUACUCCUGACCUCAGGUGAUUCACCCGCCUCGGCCUCCCAAAGUGCUGGGUUUACAGACGUGAGUCGCCGCGCCCAUCCAGGGGCACGUUUCUUAACAGCCCCUCUGGGUGCUCACGAAUUUCCGGCAUCAGCAAUCCACCAUCCUGGCAUAAUUUUCUGUGUUUUGCAUCCCUGCCUCCCGGUCAUAAACAAAAGAGUGACCUCAGUUCCAUGCGAGUGGCUGCUUGUCCCAAGCAGAUGGGUGUCCGGCGUCCCCGCCUUUUUCAGGACUGUCAGGUGGGCCCUGUGGUGCUGGAGCUGUGUUCAGGUGAACACUAGUUGAGGCUUCAGACAGCUUGUAGGUGCUCCUGCGGGCGCCUGGGCUGCUGGCAGGGGACAGUGCCCGGGUUCGUCUCGCAGCCAGAGGCCAGAGGCAGGCCAGGUGAGGCCAUGCUCUUCCCUGUCUGCACACCACACUGCUGGCAAGUAACACAAAACAGAGACUGGCUACCCCAAGGGGCAGGAGGCAGCGGAAACCUGAGGCUCAGACACUAGUGAGGCGUUCCAGCUCAGGGCCAAAAUCAGAGCCAGGGCAGCUGUGGACUCUGGCUAUGGCGUCUGUCGUACAAGUGAGAAACGAAAAGAAUGACUGUCCCGUGUCAUUCAGCAAAACACAUGGUGUCUUUGGAGGUGAAGAGAGGUGCCAAGCACCACUCGGUUUUCCCAGAUUUCCUGUAGGAGGAAAACCACUUGGUUCUAUGCUGUGGCUUUCACGCCAGGAGCUCCUAGGAUUGAGGACGUCUACUGAUUGUAUCACAGUCGAAGGGCCCAGUGUUACAUUACAUUGUGUCCCCAGGCAAAUACUUACAUUUUUACAAUUCAACAACGAUGAGCGAAGGAUAACUGUCCACCAUUGUCAGCCUUCCCACUCUAACGUGUGGAAUAAAAUGCUCAUUUCAGUUGAUUGUAUCCCGAUGGUACUGCUGUGUCAGUGCAGUCACGACCCUUUAAAUGAGUUCCCUGGGAUUUCACUUUUCUUGUUAGACAUCACCAGGAAUUAAUAACCCUCCUUUUGACAAUAGUAGUGGUCAGCAGUAAUAACUUACUCUGUGAAACAUAGAGAUUACACAGCAUCAUGGGGCUUGGCUGCAGCCCUCAGUGCCUGAUUAGAAUAAAGCAAUUGAGGCCAGGCGCAGUGGCUCACACCUGUAAUCCCAGAACUUUGGGAGGCCGAAGCGGGCGGAUCACGAGGUCAGGAGUUCUAGACAAGCCUGGCCAACAUGGUGAAAUCCUGUCUCUACCAAAAAAUAAAAAAUUAACUGCGUGUGGUGGCGGGCGCCUGUAUUUCUAGCUACUCGGGAGGUUGAGGCAGGAAAAUCGCUUGAACCCGGGAGGCAGAGGUUGCAGUGAGCCGAGAUUGUGCCAACGCACUCCAGCCUGGGUGACAGACAGAGUAAGACCCUGUCUCAAGAAAAGAAAAGAAAAAAAGAAUAAAGCAAUCAUGCAGGUGGUUUCAAAUUCCAAAGCUGUACAGUAACAUUCAAAUAUGGCAAGGCCCUGCCAGGUGCGGUGGCUCACGCCUGUAAUUCCAGCACUUUGGGAGGCUGAGGCAGGUGGAUCACCUGAAGUCAGGAGUUCAAGAUCAGCCUGGGCAACAUGGUGAAAUCCCGUCUCUAUUAAAAAUACAAAAAUUAGCCGGGCAUCUUGGGGGGUUGCCUGUAAUCCCAGCUACUCGGGAGGCUGAGGCACGAGAAUCGCUUGAACCUGGGAGGCAGAGGUUGCAGUGAGCCGAGAUGGCGCCACUGCACUCCAGCCUGGGCGACAGAGUGAGACUUCAUCUCAAAAUAAAUAAAUAAAUAAGUUAUGGCAAGUCCAUGAGUUUGCACAGCCUUCCAGGCCUGAUGGAAGUAGAUCUGCAUGUUUGGAAGGAUUGCAGAUCAUAUUUUAUCUCAUAAAUAUUACCAGAACUUCCUCGUGUAACAUGGGAACUUUCAAAACCAUAGAGAGGAGCAUUGUAAAUCUCUGUGGCUCGUCUCCACUGUCACAGUUCCCAGCUUGUGGCCAGCCUGUUGCAUCUGCACCUUCACUGUAGUUCCAAGGGUCCUUUGGAAGGAAUCCUGGACAGCGUGUACUUUUCAUCUGAAAGUACUUCAGUAAAUGAAAGGUGGAAUUUUAAGUAGACUCUUUUUUCAUUAAUGUGACUUUGUUACUGAGUGAUGUAUUAUAGAAAUUUGUGGAAACGUAUAAUUGUAAUAAAUUUGUUGGCUUGGAUGCUGGAAAGUAA